UGACAAAAAACAUUCUAACUCCUGUACCACUGAUUGGCAGGGUUGAUUCCGCUGAUCUGUCUGGCUAGGUCAGCAUCCCUUUCCUGCUCCAUGUGAGUCCCUCCUGAAGCUGCAUGCUCACUCAAGGUGGAUGAUCUUCAAGGAAAGAAGACUUCAGGAUCUACAGUGAUCUGCCCUCCACUGCCAGAAACUCCCAAGAAAUGCUCAAGCUUGUAUAAGACACAGUGAGACGAUAUCAGACCAGAAAGCUAU
ensembl:misc_RNA 7SK 7SK RNA